GNUUUUGGAACUGCGGAAGGAUCAUUG
rnacentral:rRNA from 1 species